rnacentral:lncRNA from 1 species
CUACACCUGUGGCACAUGGAAGUUCAUGGGCUAGGGUCGAAUCAGAGCUGCAGCUGCAGACCUACGCCAUGGCCAUGGCAACACCAGAUUCAAGCCUCAUCUAUGACCUACGUGGCAGCUAUGGCCACUCCAGAUCCUUAACCCACUAAGCAAGCCCAGGGAUUGGAUCUGCAUCAUCGCAGAUGCUAUGUCGGUUUCUUAACUCACUGAGCCACAACAGGAGCUCCAGCUCUAACUUUUAAGGAGAAAAGAUCAAGAGAAAUACUUGAUACCAAGUUCAGUAUCUCUUUACAUAAACAGUAUUUCUUUACAGCGAACAAGGUUUCAUUUCAAAACUUCAAAAACUACAUGCUUUUUUCUAUUGGAAGAAUUUCCACAGUUACUAAACAUAUAGAAUUGGCUUAAUUCUAAAAGCUUUAGCCUGUGCUGACAUGCUAGUAUUUAUACACAAUUACAUGUUCCCUGUACAGUUUUCUAGGAGAAAGUCAAGCAAAGCAGGGUGACUAAAAUUUCCCAACUCCCCAUUCUUAAAGCAAAGAUCAAGUUAGAAUAUUUUAAUAUAAAAACUAAAUAAUAGUGUCCUGUGUUUAUAUGUAGUAUUUUAUAACAAAUAUCAAAGAGCUUAGUCUGGAAUCGAUUAUUAGAAGCAAAAAAAAUUAUACUUGGAGGUUCCUGUGUGGCACAAAGGAUUAAGGAUCCCACAUUGCCACAGUGGUGGUACAAGUCGCAACUGCAACAUAGGUUCAGUCCCUGGCCUGGGAAUUUCUUCAUGUCACAGAUGCAACCAAAAAAGAAAAAAGAAAAAUUACAUUUAGUAUUUCAUCUUUUUUUUAAUGAAUUUUGUGUUCACUUGGACUUUUAGCUGCCAGUAAUAAGAGCAUAGGUCAGAUGUCAGACUUCCUACAUUUAAGCCCAAGUUUAGAAAAAGAAGGGGAGGCAGAGAGAUUUAUCAUAUUUGAGUGUCUCAAACAAUCCAAGGACAAAUUUCGGCUGGUUCCGAGGAUCUCUGCUUCUUCCUGCAUGUUGGUUUCAUCUCUCUCUAAUCAUGGUUAUCAGUGGCAUCAAGCUUGGGUUUGAACCUGGUGCUACCUAUCACUGGCUUAUUUUUUCCCGUGGAGAAAUUAUUUAAUCUUUCUGUAUCUUUUUGUUAAUAUAUGAAAUGAAGAUAAAAAUAACACCUACUUCCCUGAGUUGCUGCAAAGAUUGCAUAAGUUGCUUGCUCUGUGUAAAACACACAGAACAGUGCCUGGGAUAAACAUUCUAUAAAUGUUAGUUACUACUCGUAUCGUAAGCUCACCACCAAAGCUUUCUCCAUAGCCACUGAUUUAGAACAUAAGGCAAAUGAAGCAGUUUAGCCCAAAGUCAUUCGUUAAAGAAUGAAGGCACCAGCACCCCAAUAACAUUUACCACCUAUUUGAAUCAGAAAUAUUAAAGUAUCAUAUCAAGUAUAAAUCUUUUCAUUUAAAGAAAAGAUUCUGUGAAGGCCCUGGGUUCUAGAAUUUUUGCAGAGCCACUCCACAGUGCCAGGCCAAUGUUCUGCAGACACAGAUGUCUUCCACGUAACUCUGGAUCACAGCCACCUUGAGACUGCCCUGAAAGCUUAUGGAAGACUAGGCGCCAAGCUAUCUGCUGGCAGUUAAUUGAAAGCCUAAGAAGGAAGCUAGGUGUUAGACAAUAGGCAUGUAAAAUGGAUAUCUUGUUAGCUCUCACCUUUGGCCCAGAGUGAUGAAAUGAGGGAAUAGGAAGAUAUUGAGCAACAAGCUGAUAUUUGUUCUGUUUUGUUUUCUUCCUUGUAUGCCUCCCAGUGUUCUCUCUCAUUGGUUCCAAUCCUUCAUUUCUCCCACUUAAAUCAACCUGCAGGAGAGGCAAAUGGGGCCUUAUCUUGUAGCAUUUCCAGUUUUCCAUCCACUGUCAAAACUUGCAUUGAUCACAUUUUUCAACCUUGAGCUUUGAAACUAGGCAUACUAGAAGUAUGGGAAAAAAAAAAAAAAAAAAAGCCAAACAAGUGAAAGAAAGAGUCAGGAUGAACAGGGUUAACAGAACAAUACUAAGGGAAAGAGGGAAUAAAGAGGAUAGUAGAGUUGUUGCAGGCUAUUUCAAAUGUUUCAUAAGAUUGACAGGCCUAGGUUUUGAAGGGAAAGUUAUAAAAUUAGCCUCACUUACAAUAUCAAGGUAAAGUUCUACCAGCCUCAUAUGUAUUGAUUUGUUUCACUCACAAUAACCUUAUACAGAGUACCUUCUCAUUUCAUUUAAAGAUGCCGAGCCCAGAACACUUAAGUAAGUUUUCUAAAGUCACACAGCUUGUAAGAGGCAGAGCCACAACUUGAAAAUCAGAUAAUCUAGUGAGCCCAAGACCUUUAACAGUACUCCUUACCACUCUGCUUUGAAAACUAACUGAAUUAGAAGCUUAAUUCUACAAAGCAAAACUCCGGUUUAUUAAAGUAAAUGUCAUUAGGAUCUUUAACAAAGUUCUAUAUCAGAAUGAGAACAGGACCUACAUGAUUAUAUUUGCCAACAUAAAAGGGGAAAUAAUUAGCUGUUAAUAUAGUACUUUAUUGCAAGUUUUGAGAUUAAAAGAAUACUUGUGAAAUACUUCUCUUAUGUAAAGAAAUAAUACAGAAUAUUUUAGCCUUUGAGAUUGAAAAUAUUCAACCCAACUAAAGAUUCAGAGAAAAUCUAAUAAAUUAAAAGAGAAUAUUUCUAUGAUUCAAUAAAAAAUUCAGCCCUUAAAGUAAAAGAGUAAAGACCUGAGAAGAAUAACACGUAAUAAUGACUAAGUAGGAUUUAUCUCAGAUAUGGAAGUCUGGAUUAAAAAUCAGAAAUAUGUUACAGUGAUAUUUAUAAUUAUAAAUGUAAAUUAUAAGAUAAAUUAUAGACUAAGAGUCUACAGUUAAAACCAAUAACCAGCCUAAUGCCUAACAAUGAAAAUACAAGAAGUGUGAUGAACACUUGAGAUUGUAUUAUAAUUAGGAAUUAAAUAAAGAUGCCCACCACGAUAUGAAAGAGAAACUGGUCAUAUAACUUUUGAAAAUUAUAGAAUAAAGGUACUAGAACCCCACUAUCACCCACCAAUCAAUGAAAAGCUUUUAGAAUUAAGAAGAUAAUUUAGUAAAUAUGUUGGUUAUAAAACACACAAAUAUCAACUUCUCUUUCAGAAAGCAUCAAUAAGACCUAUCUCACAAAAGCAAACAUAAUCUUAAAAUAUCUAAGAUUAACUUUCUUUAGAGUCCUGUAGGGGAAAAAUUAUAAAACUCUACAUUAAGAUAUAGAAUACCUUCAUAACUGGAAGAAGAUGCCAAAUUCCUAGAAAGUAAGGUUGAAUGUUUUGAAUAUAUCAUCUUAUCUAAUUAAUUAUGAAUCUAAUAAAAAUUACAAUGAGAUUGUUUUCAGAACUUGAUGAAAUUAUUCAAAAUUUCAUAUUAAAAGAUACUGCACUGCAGAGACCAGCUCAGCAGGAUGGGGCUGAAGAAUGUGUGCUAUGGAACUUAAGGAAAAAAAGGUUAGCAUAAAACAAGACACAGAGACAUUUAUCUUAAGUAAAGGUGGGAACCUGGAGACUCAAGGUCUCAGGAACCAAGAGCCCUGCCUUAAGAAACCACACUUUUUUUAUUGUGCUCUUGAGGAUUACAUCAAGUGAAAAGGGGGUUGUAGGUGCAGGAUAUAGGUUUUUUUAUUAUUUUAUAAAUUGUUAUUAUUUUAAAAGUCACUUAGAUGGUAGAUGGUUGAACUUUUACUCUAAACUUUAGGCAUUUAAGAAUCAUUAGCAUUUGAGUUAGCUAUCUAUGCAUAGCAUUUCAGAGAAUCCUCACUGUGCUUCCGCAAAAGGCAUGCCUAUUUGUGGCAACCCUGUGUGCCUAGGUUUGUACCUUGGUUCUCUUUGCUAAUGCAUAUUCUGCUAACGACCACUCAUUAACCACUUGGCCAUGAGGUUCCUCUUUCUCUUAUUCUUUAGAGGACAUAUCAUACUUGUGCAAAUGGCGUGCCAAUCUGCACAGGUCCUGGGCGCCUAGACCAUUGUAUUAUGUCCUCAUUCAGCUGACCCC